GAUGCUUCCGUCUAUUAAGAGGAAGGAAGGGAUGGAAGUGGCCGAGGUGAAGGGUCGAAUUAAAGACAAUUCUUCUUCCGGGAAGAAAAAUGGAGCUCUGAAAGUUAAGAAGAAGAAGAAGAAAAAGAAGAAAAAGAUGAUUACUUUGAACUCACCAAUCGGCUUGUUAAAAAAGUUCUAGAAAGGGUUCACAACUUUGUUCAAGGUUUGUUCAUUUCUAGGACUAGACAUGGAAUUAUUCACGAGAUUUGGGCGUAAAUUCUUUGAUGCCUCAUGUAAGCAUCCUCUCUGGCUCUGUAUCUUAGAUUUUUUUUUUUCUUUUAUUCAAGGGAGAUGAUGGGAUUGUAUGAAAGAAAACAAAAAAAAAAGAAAAAAAGAAAAGAAAAGCUUGAAGAUUACAAAGCAACCCAUAAAUUUGUUUGGAUCUCACUUCAUUUCCCAUGCUUUCCCUCAAUCCAAGCGAAGCUUAAGUUCCACUUUUUUUCCCUUUUUUUUUUGUAUGUAAUCCUGUAUUUGGCUUCUGAAUUUUUAACAUUUGGAGCCCUUCCCAUGAUGAGUUUCUUCAUGUAUGCCCUCCAUAACUGGAGAAACUAUUUUAGCUCUUUUGCAAAUAUAUUCAUUGUACUGAGUC